CAGCCUCCCAAAUUGCCGGGAUUACAGGGUUGUGCCAUUGUGCUUGACAUUCCUGGCUCUUUCUAAAAUUUAUCUCUCAAAAUCCUAGUCUGUCUUGAUGUCAGAGAGACAGAGAGAGAAGGAUGCUCUUUUAAGGAUCUGUUUAUGACUUGGAGUAAGAAUUUUUUUUUCUUUUUUAACCAAAGAGCUGAGAAAUGGAAGUCCAUGUUGUAUCUAUCUCCCUUCUAAAUGGUGUUGUGCUUUUUUUUUUUUCCUUUUUCCUUUUUGACUCAGGUCCCUUUUGAGCAGGAACUGGCUUUUUGGUUUGUUUGUUAACCUCAUAAAGGACUGUUAGAGGCUGAAUUAGUCCCCCCCCCCAUCAUUCCUUUGUUGAAGUUGUAACUCCUAGACCUCUGAUUGUGACUUUCUUUGGAAAUAGCUUGCAUCUUAAUCUAUUAAGAUAAAGUCAUUAGGGUAGGCAUGACACAGUGUGACUGUUGUCCUCAUAAAAAAGCACAAUUUGGACAAGACACAUACACAUAGGGAGAGGGUCACGUAAAGAUGAAGGCAGAGAUUGGGACAAUGUGUUUAUGACCAAGGAAUAGCAAAGAUUGCCUGAAAAAUCACUGGAAGCUGGAGGAGUGGCCUGGAACAGAUUCUCCUUCACAGCCCUCAAGAGGAACCACACCUUGACCUUGGACUUCCAGCCCCUAUAACUGUGAGAAAAUUCAUUUCUGCUGUUUAUAAACAACCUAGUCUAUGGGGUGUGGUGCUUUAUUACAGCAGCAGCCCAAGCAAAUGAGUCUGGUGACAAGACCCAGUACACUAAAUGUUUUGCCUGCAGCUUGGAGAGUGAGCCUCGAGAGUCUGAGCAGGAACCCUCUACAUGCAGCUAUUUGGUGCCUGGAUAAGGGGAUUGGUGGUGAGUCUCCAAGCCACCUUCCUGUUUUAAUCUCUCCCCAGGGACCCAACCUUGCCCUCCAGAUAGGGUCAGCUAAAGAAAGUGAAGUCCCAGUCGCCUUUUGGAUUGCCCUCCCUUCCCUCCUCCUUUGGUCUCCCCCCUUCCCCCUUGUUUCCAA
rnacentral:lncRNA from 1 species